AUAUGGUGGUAACGUAGGUCGCGGAUACUUGAAUGCCAUCUCCAAUGGAUCUCUCACUAACAACAGAUUGAUCAUGUUGAAUAUUGGCAAUGAAAGUCCGACCAAUGUUCCGCCUAUUAUUAUCGCUGCGUGCUUAUUUCUUCUUGUGGCCCAAUACGUGAGAUCCAAGAGCAUUGCCGAAGGUAUCCAAACUGGUGUUACAACGAAGUCGUAAGGAUAUCCCAACGCGAACCAUGCACCUUUUGCCACCCAAGUGUAAAUUGUCAUGAUUGUCGCAUAGUACGUAGCCGUUCCCGGAACACCUGUGAACAACAUAUAGUAUAUCGCACCUACCACAAGCAUAGUUGAUUGUGAUAUCGAGAAUACUACGAAUGAUGUCCAAGCCCAAUCACUGUAGAAA
rnacentral:misc_RNA from 1 species